rnacentral:rRNA from 1 species
AUUGAACGCUGGCGGCAUGCUUUACACAUGCAAGUCGAACGGUAACAGGCCGCAAGGUGCUGACGAGUGGCGAACGGGUGAGUAAUGCAUCGGAACGUGCCCAGUCGUGGGGGAUAACGUAGCGAAAGCUACGCUAAUACCGCAUACGAUCUAUGGAAGAAAGCGGGGGAUCGCAAGACCUCGCGCGAUUGGAGGGGCCGAUAUCAGAUUAGGUAGUUGGUGGGGUAAAGGCUCACCAAGCCGACGAUCUGUAGCUGGUCUGAGAGGACGACCAGCCACACUGGGACUGAGACACGGCCCAGACUCCUACGGGAGGCAGCAGUGGGGAAUUUUGGACAAUGGGCGCAAGCCUGAUCCAGCAAUGCCGCGUGCAGGAUGAAGGCCUUCGGGUUGUAAACUGCUUUUGUACGGAGCGAAAAGGCUCUCUCUAAUACAGGGGGCUCAUGACGGUACCGUAAGAAUAAGCACCGGCUAACUACGUGCCAGCAGCCGCCGUAAGAC